AGAGAGGCUUCCACGCGGUGACGUUUUGGGGGCCUUUUUCUUUUGC
rnacentral:antisense_RNA from 2 species